rnacentral:rRNA from 1 species
AUUGAACGCUGGCGGCAUGCCUUACACAUGCAAGUCGAACGGUAACAGGUCUUCGGAUGCUGACGAGUGGCGAACGGGUGAGUAAUACAUCGGAACGUGCCUAGUAGUGGGGGAUAACUACUCGAAAGAGUGGCUAAUACCGCAUGAGGUCUACGGAUGAAAGCAGGGGAUCGCAAGACCUUGUGCUACUAGAGCGGCCGAUGGCAGAUUAGGUAGUUGGUGGGAUAAAAGCUUACCAAGCCGACGAUCUGUAGCUGGUCUGAGAGGACGAUCAGCCACACUGGGACUGGGACACGGCCCAGACUCCUACGGGAGGCAGCAGUGGGGAAUUUUGGACAAUGGGCGCAAGCCUGAUCCAGCAAUGCCGCGUGCAGGAUGAAGGCCUUCGGGUUGUAAACUGCUUUUGUACGGAACGAAAAGCCCUGGGUUAAUACCCUGGGGUCAUGACGGUACCGUAAGAAUAAGCACCGGCUAACUACGUGCCAGCAGCCGCAGUAACAC